rnacentral:rRNA from 1 species
UACGUAGGUGACCAGCGUUGUCCGGAUUUACUGGGCGUAAAGAGCGCGCAGGCGGUCGUUCAAGUCGAGUGUGAAAGCCCCCGGCUCAACUGGGGAGGGUCACUCGAUACUGAUCGACUUGAAGGCAGGAGAGGGAAGCGGAAUUCCCGGUGUAGUGGUGAAAUGCGUAGAUAUCGGGAGGAACACCAGUGGCGAAGGCGGCGAUCUGGGAAGAUACUGACGCUGAGGUGCGAAAGCGUGGGGAGCAAACAGG